UCGGGGAGCCCCCACCCUUUCCCACUCACUCUGUGUUUUCCCUCCUCCUCUUCCUCUUUGCCCUCAACCCAGCACCUCACACCCUCCCGUUUUCAAGCCCUGGUAAGAUUGCUCAAUUCUGUUUUGUUUUGUGGAUUUGUUUUGAGUUUAUUUUUGGUGGAAGUGUAGUUGUGUUUUAUGUUCAGGUGUCUCUCGAUCACAGUAACCCUAAGUCCCCUAUGGGGGACAGCGGGGGAAGACUUUGGGAGGAUUUUACCCAGAAUAUUUGCCGCCUGCUUUUUGUCCUCCAGGAAACCAGAAGCCCGGGUGAUUAGGACAAAGCCAAAGGCCCCUUGUUAGCUGGCC